AGCUCCCUGGAGCAACAAGCCUGAGCGGACAAAACGCCCACUUCUGCAGCGGCGUCCUCUGUGCUCCGAAGGGAACAGCAAGAACUUUGAAGCUCUUUUUCUAGCACUAAAACUGCUGAACUACAGCUAAGACGAUGUCAGCGACUUAUAAGGAUGACGGGGAAGACUGGUUGACUGUUUGCCUCAAGUACCUACUCUUUGUCUUCAAUUUUCUAUUUUGGGUGGGUGGAGCUGCAGUCUUGGGUGUAGGAGUGUGGACAGUGGUGGAGAAGAGCGACUACUUGAGUCUUUUGGCCUCCAGCACUUUUGCUAUCUCAGCUUAUAUCCUGAUCCUGGCUGGAAGCCUGGUGGUUGUCACUGGCUUCCUGGGCUGCUGCGCUGUUAUCCGGGAACAGAGAAGCUGUCUUUCUACGUAUUUCUUCUUCCUGCUGUUAAUUUUCUUGAUUGAACUGGUUGCUGGAGUGCUGGCCUAUGUUUACUACCAGAGGCUCAGUGAUGAACUGAAGGAGCACCUCAACCAGACUAUGACUGAGAAUUAUGCUCAGCAGGGGAAGGAGACAAUCACUUCUGCAGUCGACAGACUGCAACAAGAUUUCAAGUGCUGCGGAAGCAACAACUCCCAGGAUUGGAUGCUGAGCGCAUACAUUAAGUCAGAACAAUCAGGAAACCGGGUGGUGCCUGACAGCUGCUGCAAAACCGUUACCCCCAACUGUGGCAGGAGGGACCACCCUUCCAACAUCUAUAAAGUGGAGGGUGGAUGCAUCUUUAAGCUGGAGCAGUUUCUUGCAGACCAUCUAUUGGUUAUUGGUGCUGUUGGAAUUGGAGUGGCCUGUCUUCAGCUGGCCGGAGCACUCUUGACAGCCUGCUUUAUCUAUCUGCUCUAUAAGGAGGAGGAGGAGGACUUUGGUGCAUUGUAAUUUGGCUCCAGAGCUCUUUGGUGCUUUUAAUCAAAUGGAUAGACAAGGAUGGAAGAUCUGUGGGAUGGUGUUCACCUGCUGCCUGCACAGGAGGAUCAAGAUGGAUCCUUACUAGGCACACAAGACCCCAACAAACCACCAGUAAAAUGAAGAUGUAGUAAAGCCUGCUGACGCCCAACUUUCACGUCUGGAUCUGAAGUCUAAUCAGAGAAUAAAAAUGAAGUUCACUUUAUCAGAAACCAAUUCAGCCAUUGAGUGGCCCGGCACAAAGAAAACUAAUACAUUCACCUGGUUUACAUGCAUGGUUUAUAUUGAGCUGAACUUAGCUUCAAAAACUCGGGGAAAAUAAGUCAUUAUUUCCUUUAAUUUUCCAGACUUCUUCAUGCUGACUUCAGACUUUGAACAUAUAUAAGAAUUGAAAAAUGCAAUGGCUACUUCUUUCAUUUUUUAUGAAGAAAAGGAACAAAAUGUGCCUUUCUUAGGAAUCUUCUAAUCAAUAGUUAUCUGCUAACUGAGUGCCUUUCAUCUUUAAAGAAACCAACCCAAUACUGUAUGUAUAUAUGAGUGCUUAUUUGAAUGAUUCAGACAAAGCUAUAAUGUUUGACUUGACAGGAAGAAUUGGUUAUGCUGUCAACACUGCAACACUCUAAAGUUCACCCACAUGGAGCAUCAAUUUAGAUAGAAUUUAGAAGUCUGUUUUUAAACAGGCUGAAAUAUCUCUGAAUUUAUAACUCCAUCUAGUGGACGUGGCUCUAUGAAACAAAAUAUGUGUUAAUGAAAGAAACUAAAAAUUAAAAUGUCUUCCUUUUCUGUGUUAGUGUUAAUCACUCCUGAUUAAUAAUUUUGCACGGUAUGAUUUUCCACAUGAAAUCAAAAUGAUUUGUUAUUUCAUUCCUUUCUGAAGCAUUGUUAUAGUAUACGCUACAGAUA